AUUGAACGCUGGCGGCAGGCCUAACACAUGCAAGUCGAACGGUAACAGGAAGAAGCUUGCUUCUUUGCUGACGAGUGGCGGACGGGUGAGUAAUGUCUGGGAAACUGCCUGAUGGAGGGGGAUAACUACUGGAAACGGUAGCUAAUACCGCAUAACGUCGCAAGACCAAAGAGGGGGACCUUCGGGCCUUUUGCCAUCGGAUGUGCCCAGAUGGGAUUAGCUAGUAGGUGGGGUAACGGCUCACCUAGGCGACGAUCCCUAGCUGGUCUGAGAGGAUGACCAGCCACACUGGAACUGAGACACGGUCCAGACUCCUACGGGAGGCAGCAGUGGGGAAUAUUGCACAAUGGGCGCAAGCCUGAUGCAGCCAUGCCGCGUGUAUGAAGAAGGCCUUCGGGUUGUAAAGUACUUUCAGCGGGGAGGAAGGGAGUAAAGUUAAUACCUUUGCUCACUGACGUUACCCGCAGAAGAAGCACCGGCUAACUCCGUG
rnacentral:rRNA from 1 species